AACGAACGCUGGCGGCAGGCUUAACACAUGCAAGUCGAGCGCCCCGCAAGGGGAGCGGCAGACGGGUGAGUAACGCGUGGGAAUCUACCCAUCUCUACGGAAUAACGCAUGGAAACGUGUGCUAAUACCGUAUACUUCCUUCGGGAGAAAGAUUUAUCGGAGAUGGAUGAGCCCGCGUUGGAUUAGCUAGUUGGUGGGGUAAAGGCCUACCAAGGCGACGAUCCAUAGCUGGUCUGAGAGGAUGAUCAGCCACACUGGGACUGAGACACGGCCCAGACUCCUACGGGAGGCAGCAGUGGGGAAUAUUGGACAAUGGGCGCAAGCCUGAUCCAGCCAUGCCGCGUGAGUGAUGAAGGCCCUAGGGUUGUAAAGCUCUCACCGGUGAAGAUAAUGACGGUAACCGGAGAAGAAGCCCCGGCUAACUUCGUGCCAGCCGCCGCGGUAAGAC
rnacentral:rRNA from 1 species